CACCUACAUCUGUCUUCAUCUCCAGAGGAUGCUUCGAAGGGGAAAAAAUAGCAAGGUUAGAGCCUGUGAAAUGUUGAGCAAACUUGAUCACCGUCGCUUGCAGUCAACAUGGAAAGCAAGCAGAUCGGUCCGGGAGGCUACGCCGGAUUGGCAUUUUCGAUCUUAGCCACCUGAGCUGCGCCACUAGAUUUUGAUGUUAUGAGCUUUUUUUUUGGCCGGGAGGGAAGAGGAGCUGGCAGCCGAAAGGGGUAUGAAGGGACUGGGCGGGCAGAAGGUGUGUCGCGGGGUCGCCGAUGACGCGGCGACAUCGGGUCUGGCUUAUCCUCUUCCCGGUCAUCUCUGCAUGCGUAUCCCUGGCUGUGCUACACCCGUCCGUGUGGGACGCAUCAGGCGGAUGCGGUGAGCAAGGUCGCGGACGCGGAGGACGUGUUGGUUAUCUAAAUAGCGAUAGGAUUUUGUUUCUGAUCAAGAUCUAUCUCUUUGGGAGCACUGAUUUUGUCACUGAGCCUCAAGGUAAGAGGUAGAAAGGAGGUCGAUGGCAUCGGAUAAAAAGGCAUGGAAGCUGAUUUAAGCUAGUAGGCCGUACACAAAAAGUACAGGAAGACGAAUUGACGUGUUGUGCUACCACCUGGUCAGCAUGGAGGAUGAAGAAACUGAAUGUUCAGGAGAUACCAGUUGGUCAACGACAGUGAACCCCAAUUCAUACACAUUCUAUUCUUGGUCCUUGUUCUCCAAGAUCCGUGGAAGAUGCAAAAUAGAAUUCCGCCGAGAUCGAGGUGAGACAUCUUUUACUGGAGGGGCCUGCAUUUCUAUUUUCUUAAGUUUCCUGCAAGAUAAGUGUGGAGAUCAAGUGUGAACUGAUUGAGCAAACAAACCACCGCAACAAUGAUCAAUUUAAAACAGUGCAUAGGGUUAUAUUUACUGCUCGCGCAUGCCCUGAGGUCUUCAGUGUUACAAAAUCUAGAUCGUAGCAUCAUAACAGAGCCAUCAUGACCAAGCAAAUGAAUCAAAAGCUUGUAUGGAUAGAUCAUUUUUUAUCAAAACUUUAAACAAAUUUAUAAUGCACUCGGAAAAGGUAUUGAGAGAACAUAAAUUCUGAGCAUAUGGGAGUAACUUGCUAGCCUUUUAUCUUUAAAGCAAACGUAAUAGUUUGAAUAACCGCAAUGGUUUUAAUUAUCUGUCUCACUCCACUGACCAUUGUACUCUCAAAAUGAAGCUUCACGAAGUAUUUCUUCAGAGAAAGUUGUGAGAACACACUCUUAAAGGAGAAAUGAUUCUCACAACACUGGACCUCUCUGUGUGACGAUAACCUUAUAAAAAGUACACUGAACUCAUAAAAGAAAAAUAUCUAUAAGCUAGCUGGUAUCUUAACAAAUGAUUCUGAAUUUUAUUGCACAGCGCAUAUAAAACAACAGGCCAUGAUCAUUGUCUAUAAGUUAUCCGAACCUAACAGCCUACAUCAAUCCACCUCAAUCAGAAUCAUUUCCGUAUGAGCCUAUGUAUGAUGAUAACCAUAUGAAAAGUGCCGGCCAACAUAUAUGAAAUAAUAGUAUGAAUAGAAUCUGUAGUUGUGAAAUCUAAAGAAAGACAUUUCCAGCAUGUCCACAUAAUCUCGUGUCUUAAUUGUGAGUUGUUGCAAAAUCCACAUCUAUUAUGUUCCAAAGAAAUAUUCUAACACUGCAGCAGGCCUCAUGUAUUAAGCCUAUCAGUAAAAAAGUUAGAACAACAACAGUUUAGAUGACUGUAUGAUUUUCAUAGAAAAUGAAAACUUAUGGGAGAAUAGUGUCAUGGGAGAACUUUAUAUAUACCUUCGGAUGCUAAAACCUGAAGCUUUCCGAGACGAAGGCUUUGUUGAAAAUAAUAGAAUAGGAGCAUCGCAGGCCUCCUCUAAAAGAGGAACAUGGAAAAUAUCACAGGAGUUAUCACAGUUGAAGACAUGCUGGACUGAAAAAACAUUAAUCUUUCACAAAGUAAAAUAUGUGAGGGCAGUAUUUCUUGUUCUUAAGAAAUCGCCAAUCCAAAUAUCAAGACAGCUAAUACCAGAUUUCCCAUUUCUUUCGGUGCAAGCAGAGCUUCCAAGAUAAUAACUGAAUCCCUCUCUCAUAAGUAAUAAGCGGCAGUGGUAGAUUUUUGGCACCAGGAGGCUCCCAAAUCAGAUUCACCAAAGGUAAGCCAUGAUGAUAAAAUAAAAUGAUGCAAGUUCUUCAUAACCAUGUCAUUUUUCACUUUUGAUAGCACCAGCAGGACUAUCAGCUGACUCACAUUCCACCCAGAAGAGGAAAAUUAUCCACCAGAAAAUGACCCAACAACUCUCUCAUCAGAAGUACCAUGGAAGCAGCAGACAUACAUCUUCCAAGCGGAGAUGGAGCAUGCAAAACAGAAGAUGGAACCACUGAGGAAUGCUUCCCGGCCAGACAUACAUCUUCCAAGCGGAGAUGGAGCAUGCAAAACAGAAGAUGGAACCACUGAGGAAUGCCUCCCGGCCAUGGCAUCAACAGUGGCAUGGCAACCUACAACAUCAAUCAAUCAGUAAACAACAUGACAUUGCUGGUAAAUUUCUAUGAUUAAUAUAAAUUUCUAUGAGUCUCUCGCUACACCGUCUUGGAAGCUUUCCCUCUUCAUCCGACCAUCCAGCACACAGAGCCAGCAAGGUCCAUCACCACCAAUCUCAUCACCGCGAACAGCUCGCCUUCCAGAAGGAUCUAGGGCAGCGCUGUGAGGUCUGGCCACGCAUCACCGCGAACAGCUGGUCCUCCAGCGGAAGCCGAACG